rnacentral:rRNA from 2 species
GCAGUCGAACGAAGUCGCCCAAUUGAUUCUUAGUGCUUGCAUUAAGAUGAUUUUGGAUCCGACUGAGUGGCGAACUGGUGAGUAACACGUGGGUAACCUGCCCAGAAGAAGGGGAUAACACCUGGAAACAGAUGCUAAUACCGUAUAACAACAAGAACCACAUGGUUCUUGUUUGAAAGCUGGCCUUUGUGCUAGUGCUUCUGGAUGGACCCGCGGCGUAUUAGCUAGUUGGUGAGAUAAUAGCUCACCAAGGCAAUGAUACGUAGCAGACCUGAGAGGGUAAUCUGCCACAAUGGGACUGAGACACGGCCCAUACUCCUACGGGAGGCAGCAGUAGGGAAUCUUCCACAAUGGACGAAAGUCUGAUGGAGCAACGCCGCGUGAGUGAAGAAGGGUUUCGGCUCGUAAAACUCUGUUGUUAGAGAAGAACAGCCGUGAGAGCAACUGCUCACGGUAUGACGGUAUCUAACCAGAAAGUCACGGCUAACUACGUGCCAGCAGCCGCGGUAAUACGUAGGUGGCAAACGUUGUCCGGAUUUAUUGGGCGUAAAGGGAGCGCAGGCGGUUUAUUAAGUCUGAUGUGAAAGCCUUCGGCUUAACCGGAGAAGUGCAUCGGAAACUGAUAAACUUGAGUGCAGAAAAGGAUAGUGGAACUUCAUGUGUAGCGGUGAAAUGCGUAGAUAUAUGAAGGAACACCAGUGGCGAAGGCGGCUAUCUGGUCUGUAACUGACGCUGAGGCUCGAAAGCAUGGGUAGCAACAGGAUUAGAUACCCUGGUAGUCCAUGCCGUAAACGAUGAAUGCUAGGUGUUGGAAGGUUUCCGCCUUUCAGUGCCGCAGCUAACGCAUUAAGCAUUCCGCCUGGGGAGUACGACCGCAAGGUUG